rnacentral:rRNA from 1 species
CCAAGGGUCUUGACAUCCUCUGACAACCCUAGAGAUAGGGCUUCUCCUUCGGGAGCAGAGUGACAGGUGGUGCAUGGUUGUCGUCAGCUCGUGUCGUGAGAUGUUGGGUUAAGUCCCGCAACGAGCGCAACCCUUGAUCUUAGUUGCCAUCAUUAAGUUGGGCACUCUAAGGUGACUGCCGGUGACAAACCGGAGGAAGGUGGGGAUGACGUCAAAUCAUCAUGCCCCUUAUGACCUGGGCUACACACGUGCUACAAUGGACGGUACAAAAAGCUGCAAGACCGCGAGGUGGAGCUAAUCUCAUAAAACCGUUCUCAGUUCGGAUUGUAGGCUGCAACUCGCCUACAUGAAGCUGGAAUCGCUAAUAAUCGCGGAUCAGCAUGCCGCGGUGAAUACGUUC